AUGCCCGCCGCCCCGCUCGGCCCCGCCGCGCCGCCUGCCCGCCCCGGCGCGGCCGCCCGGCCGAGGCGCUGGGCGCUGCGGGCCCGUUGAGGCGCCGCGUCCUCCGCCCGCCCGGAGGAGGGCUUUCCGGGGCGGGGAGCCGCCGGUGCCGCGCAGGGCGCGGGCAGCGCUGCGGCGAUGGCGGCCGCCUGGCCCUGGCUGCUGCUGUGGCUGGGGGCGGCCGCCCUGCGCGCCCGCCCGGCCCCGCCGCGCAUCCGCCUGCCGCUGCGGGGCGGCGCGGCCCUGCCGCCGGGGCCCCGGGCGCGCCGGGCGCCGGAGGAGGCCGAGAGGGCCGGGAGCUUCGUGGAGAUGAUCGACAACCUGCGGGGCAAGUCCGGGCAGGGCUACUACGUGGAGAUGACGGUGGGCAGCCCCCCGCAGAAGCUGAAUAUCCUAGUGGAUACAGGGAGCAGUAAUUUCGCUGUGGGAGCUGCACCUCACCCAUUCCUCCGGAGAUACUACCAGCGGCAGCUGUCCAGCACCUAUCGUGACCUGCGGAAGGGUGUGUAUGUGCCCUACACCCAGGGCAAGUGGGAAGGGGAACUGGGCACCGACCUUGUCACCAUCCCCCAUGGCCCCAACGUCACUGUCAGAGCCAACAUUGCUGCCAUCACGGAGUCGGACAAAUUCUUCAUCAACGGCUCCAACUGGGAAGGGAUCCUGGGGCUGGCGUAUGCCGAGAUCGCCCGGCCUGACGACAGCCUGGAGCCCUUCUUUGACUCCCUGGUGAAGCAGACACGGGUGCCCAACAUCUUCUCCCUCCAGCUUUGCGGGGCAGGCUUCUCGCCCAACGAGACAGAGGCCCUGGCAUCGGUGGGGGGCAGCAUGAUCAUUGGUGGCAUUGACCGCUCGCUGUAUGUGGGUGACAUCUGGUACACACCCAUCCGGAAGGAGUGGUACUACGAGGUCAUCAUCGUCAAGCUGGAGGUCAACGGUCAGGACCUGAACAUGGACUGCAAAGAGUACAACUACGACAAGAGUAUCGUGGAUAGCGGGACAACCAACCUCAGGCUGCCGAAGAAAGUGUUUGAGGCUGCAGUGAAAUCCAUCAAAACAGCUUCUUCAACGGAGAAGUUCCCAGAUGGCUUCUGGCUGGGGGAGCAGCUGGUUUGCUGGCAGGUCGGCACCACCCCCUGGCACAUCUUCCCAGUCCUGUCCCUCUACCUGAUGGGGGAGGCCACCAACCAGUCCUUCCGCAUCACCAUCCUGCCCCAGCAAUACCUGCGCCCAGUGGAGGACGUGGCCACCUCUCAGGACGACUGCUACAAGUUUGCCAUCUCCCAGUCCUCCACAGGCACCGUCAUGGGCGCUGUCAUCAUGGAGGGCUUCUACGUGGUCUUUGACCGCGCCCGCAAGCGCAUCGGCUUUGCUGUCAGUGCCUGCCACGUGCACGAUGAGUUUCGGAUGGCCGCAGUGGAGGGGCCCUACCUGCACUCCAACAUGGAGGACUGUGGCUACAACAUCCCGCAGACGGACGAGUCCACCCUGAUGACCAUCGCCUACGUCAUGGCAGCCAUCUGCGCCCUUUUCAUGCUGCCCCUCUGCCUCAUGGUGUUCCAGUGGCGCUGCUUCCACUGCCUGCGGCGGGACCAUGACGACUUUGCUGAUGACAUAUCCUUGCUGAAGUGAUGGCGGAGCAUGGGGGCAGCCCCGGGGCCGCAGGUGAGGCAGCAGGGCAGGGAGAGGUAGGUCCUUUCUCCAGGGCUGGAGCACGGAGGCAGGGCAGCAGCGUGGGGAGCUCAGACCCUCAGCCCGGGCCCUCCUGGCCCUGGGGGACUUGGUGCCCGUCAGGGCCAGCAGGUCGGGAGCAGCCAUGGGAGCCCCAGGCCUGGGCUGUGUUUGUCUGGGACCUGCAGAAAGAGCGGGGCAGGCGGAGAGGGGGGAGAGCGUGCAGCAACCCCGUCCCGUGGGCUGGGGCAGCUUCCCUGCUCCGGCACCAGUAUGGGCUGGGCUGUCCCCAGCUCUCCUGCCCAGCCGUGCCAGGCUUGACAGAACCGUGCUGAUGAGCCGUCGCACCGCCUGUCUCCCAUCACCCUCCAUCCCUGCGCAGCCGCCCCCAGCCCACGCUGCCAUGAAGCCGCUGGCCCCCGCUGUUGUGUAGGGAGCUGUGGGUGCACGCACCUGCGGCACAGCUCCCUGUGCGGCAUGCCUGAUCCUGCCAGGCUCCAGGGUUCCCAUCUCCGGAGCCUCCCGUCCCCAGCUUUUCAGAGACAGCCACGCAGGGCCGGCCUGGGGCUGCCUGGACGGGAGCAGCCAGAGGCAGGGGUUUCCCUCCCACCCUCCUGCUCACCCAUACGCCGCUUGCUCUUGCAUUUCGCGUUGCGUUCCCCCUGCCACCCCCAGGCUCUGCUUCCGCUGCUGCCAGCCCCUGGACUCCCUCUGCCCACCCCACUCUCCCGGCUGCCUCCUGGGACAGGCAUGAGCAGGCACCCAUCCUCUCCCUGCGCCGCUUUCGCUCACCACGUCCCCUUUGGGGAUGGGAAACUGCCUCUCCUUUCCAGCGGCAGCCAUGGAGAAGUUGGCGGCUGCUGCCCUCCCACCCCAGGGAAAACAGCCUCCCAGCUCGGGGCUGCAGGCGUGGGGAAGGGGGACGUGCACUACAAGCACCCCCCAGCCUGCUACACAGAAAUCGUGUGCCAGGAGAGAGCGAGUUACCCAACCCCGGCCGCUCCCCAGCCCACCCGCCCGUUCAAAAGCCAUAGGGGAGCCAGCGCCGGGCUCAGCCGGCCCCCCCCCCGCAGCCCCCGCCCUGCCUCACCGCUGGCGAGUCCCCCGGCACGGGGCACAGCAGCUCCGCUUGCUCCGCAAGUCCAUGUGUCCGGCCCCAGCUCCUGCUCUCCAUGCGUGAGACAUCCCGGCAGCCUGGGGACAGGCAGUGGCUGUGGGGACUUGCAGCAUUUAUUAUUUUUUAAACACAUGGUUGUAUUUAUUAUUUUUUUUUAUAUAUAAUGUGAGUCACUAGUAGUGCAGCUGUGCAGAAUCAGAGCGUGUAUAUAGCAGGUCCCACACCGCACACAGGUGUACGAAUAACGGUCGCUUCUCACCUGUACAAUAUAUACAUAUAUCUAUAUUUUUAAUUCCAGCGCUCAAAGUCACUGUUCCAAAACCCAACAUUAGGGGGUUUGGUCCUGUUUUGGUUUUUUUAAAUAUUUUUAGCCCCUCUGCUCAGUCCUAGGGCCUUGGCCACAACCCAAGGCCAGGGCUCGCUCAGUAGCGGCGUGCUCGGGUGGAAGCACUUUAUGGAUCAGAGGUGGUCCAAGUCGGUUUCAGAGGAGGUGGUGACAGUGAUGGAGGGACGCAGGAGGGCAGGGCUGGAGCACGCAGAACAGUGGUUCACAAGCCGAAAGGACAUUGGGCGCAGGAGGCACUUCUGUCCUCACCGUGUUCCUACAGCAAAGGUAUAUAUAUACCUUCACGGUAUGUAAGGACAAUGCUCCCCUUCUCCCCACAGCAAUCCCUGCCCCGGGGAGAGGGGGCCGCUGCAAGCUCACCAUCACCCUUCCCCAGGGCAGAUGCCCUUGAUCUUGCGGGCAGUUGAUAAUGCUGUAUUUCUUGCUUCUCUGCCUGCAACUCAGAUGGGAAGGUGCUUUGUUUUAAACGCCAAGAUUCACUGAUUAAAAGGCAACAUUCCUCCACGAGCAAAGGACAGGGCUACCUGCGGUGCCCAGGCCGAGCUGGCAGCUGCCCAGCCAAGGCACACGCAAGAGCCGAGCCACCAGUUCAGCAAGGGAGCCAGUGCACGGGCGGGAGGAGGAGACACACGCAGUGUAGGAGAGGCAAGCCAGCCCUAGCACUGGGCACCGCCACAACAGCCCGUUACGCGCACCCCUAAACUGUCCCACGUCACUGCUGGUGCGCUCACGAGCAGCGCCCAGUUCCCAUGCCCCGCUGCAGAACUGCAAGCAUCCAGCGACCCCACUCCGGCGCGCGAGGAGAACGUUACACAACCACAGAGCGCGCACAGACCUCCGCACCCUUGUGCCUGCCCAGGACCCUCCCAGGAUCCCAGAGACUGUUGUGGACCACUGCCUUAAAACACGCUGGCAAGUGUGUGUGUGCGUGCGUGUAGAAAGAUUGGGGCUGUGGCCAAAUUCAGGCGUGCUGCAUGCAGGCAGCGCUUGCACUGACCGACCCGGAGGUGCAGGUGCCUCUAGCAGGGCUGAAUUUGCACCACAGGCUGCAAACAAGGGGAAAAGAAAUUCUACAGAGUCAGCGCAAGAUUUGAAGUGGUGCUGAGCACCUCGUAAUCCCACCGAAAUCCAUGGAGAAAGGUGUUGGUGCGUCAGCCUGUGCUUUAGGAGAAAGUACAGGAGAGGGGAUAGGAGGAACUGCAACAGGUUGGUUAUCCCGAGCUGCAGCGCAGCCGCAUCCGUUUGCUCCCAAGCGCUUCCCUCCCCAGGGCCCAGGUACCGCAGGGAACGCCGGGUGGAGGCGCAUGGUGGGGACAGUUACCGCAGGCUGUCGCUGUAGACUCCAGUACUCUGUAACCUAUUGUCUAUGUAAGAACAAUGAAUGUUAACACACGGUAAAUUAUUAUUACAUUAAAAAACCACAAAAAACAC